rnacentral:rRNA from 1 species
UACGGAGGAUGCGAGCGUUAUCCGGAUUUAUUGGGUUUAAAGGGUGCGUAGGCGGACUGUCAAGUCAGCGGUAAAAUUGAGGGGCUCAACCUCUUCCCGCCGUUGAAACUGGUGGUCUUGAGUGGACGAGAAGUACGCGGAAUGCGUGGUGUAGCGGUGAAAUGCAUAGAUAUCACGCAGAACUCCGAUUGCGAAGGCAGCGUACCGGCAUCCAACUGACGCUGAGGCACGAAAGCGUGGGGAUCAAACAGG